rnacentral:rRNA from 1 species
UACGUAGGGGGCGAGCGUUGUCCGGAAUCAUUGGGCGUAAAGCGCGUGUAGGCGGCCCGGUAAGUCCGCUGUGAAAGUCCAGGGCUCAACCCUGGGAUGCCGGUGGAUACUGUCGGGCUCGAGUCCGGAAGAGGCGAGUGGAAUUCCUGGUGUAGCGGUGAAAUGCGCAGAUAUCAGGAGGAACACCAAUGGCGAAGGCAGCUCGCUGGGACGUGACUGACGCUGAGACGCGAAAGCGUGGGGGAGCAAACAGG